CUGCGUACAUGGAGAAACAUGUGACAAGGAUUUGUAUUUUUCUUUCAUUUGUGCAGAACCACCAGUAAAAGUGUAUCCAGUGGUCACCAGUGUCUCAUGGUCCUUCCUUCAGCGGUCGCAGUACUCAAGAUCAAACAUAUGGAACUUUAGAACCAAAAAUGGUACAGAAAAAAGAGACGAGCUUCCUGUUGGGGAACGCUCAGAUCGUGGAGUGGCCCGUCGUCUAUAGCAACGAUGGAUUCUGUAAACUGUCAGGGUUCCACAGGGCAGAGGUCAUGCAGAAGAGCUCCACCUGCAGAUGAGAGGGAGGGAGCUGCGCUUUUUACCCCGACAAAACUUCACUUCCUCCGCAUUAAAGCAGAAGGUGGGACACAAGCAUGGAUUUAUUAGGAGAGAAGGGACAGGAGGUCCUGGGCAGUCUGUAGACAUAUCGGCCACUCCGUGGGUGAAAUUGGGGCACACUGGGGACAAAGUGCCACACCAGCUGUGCCAGCCAUCAUUGCCUGCCAUGGAGUAACGUUAGCUGACCGAAUGCCCCGACCUCUGGACUAUGUCUAAGUUUUUAACCCUUUUGAUAGACUCAGUGGACUUCUCCCACUCCUGACCUGUUCAGUCCCUUUUAAACCGGCUGUAGAUUAUUGUAAUAAAAUCUGAACUUUGCUGUCUAUAGUCAAUCCUCUGGUGAUCCAACCUACCUGUCGUGCUCGGUGUGAAGCCCUUAGGAGGUGUUACACCACCACCAAGUGAAGGCCACCAUAAGAGGGCAUAAGAGAGUCCAGAUUCCACAUGUUCUAUCUACUGUAGUUUGGAACUCUCCUGUAUCAUUAACAUUUUUGUGUUUCAACCUAACUACACAGAACCAGAUGGUCUUUACAGCAGAAGUAUUUUACUACUUGUUCUGCAUUCUCACAUGUUUCUGUUUUACUUUGUUACUUUUAUUUCAUUAUUUAUUAUGCAUAAUAUCUUCAUGUAAGUAUGAUUAUUAUUCUGUGAAGCAGUUUUAGUGUUAAUGUAAGGUAUACUUUAUUGUUGUUGUAGUGAAAUGUGUCCUCUGCAUUUGAUCCAUCCUUCAGUCUCUCCAGUUAAACUUGUCAGGAGCAGGGGGCAACCAUAGUGCAACAUAGUGGCAGGCAUGUUUAUUGUGCUUGUUGUACUGGGAAUGUAACAUUAUUUUGAAGUUAGAAGUUCCUUUUACAUGUAGUAUCGGCCUACAAAAUUACUUUUCCUACUUUGUGUCCCAAACAAACAGAUUUAACUCUUUAACUUUAAGUAGUCUGUGUUUUAUUUUUGCUCCUAGUUUUAGCCCAGUUAUAAUCCUGGUUUAGUCCUGAUGUAGUCCAGAUUUUUAACCAUGUUUAGUCAAGCUUUAGCCCAUAUGUUUUUCUGUGGUCACUGACACAUUUGUCUCUCUUGUUUACAUCCCAUUUUGUGGCUUUUACAACUGUCUUAUUAGCAUAUUAUAAAUGUACUCCUGCAGCUACUUGUUUUCACUGUUCUGUUGCUUUAUACCAAACCAUUAUGUUUAACCAUUCUCUUAUUUAUGUAGUGAUGUUUAAUUGCAUAAGUUGAGUUUUGCUAAUUGUAGUGACCUGUGCAUCCCCCUCGUUGCCACUAGAGGGCAGCAGAUAUGUUUCACUGUUACAGAAUGGGACAGCGUUGGUGGUUGAUGUUGUUAGACACUAGAUGGACAAUUGUUCUGUAUAAAUUUCUUUGCCUUAGCCUUUUGGUUACUUCAUUUCGGACAGCGUUUUUUUGUUUGUUUUUGUUUAUUUUAGUUUUUUAAAAUGUUUUCUAGUUCUAAUACCCAUAAACAUCCCAUUACAAUAAUACAAUUUUACUUAAAGUCUGGUUUUUAUUUUACUUAAAGUCUGUUUUUGUUGUUGUUUUUUUGUUGUUGUUUUUUUUAGUUUAAAUUGUACUUCCUGGUUGGACACGGGCUGCAGAUAUGACAGUUUGAACUUUAAUUCACUGUUAUUUUCUGCAUUUUUGUACUGAUAUAGUAU